rnacentral:rRNA from 1 species
AACGAACGCUGGCGGCAGGCCUAACACAUGCAAGUCGAGCGAGGACUUCGGUCCUAGCGGCGGACGGGUGAGUAACGCGUGGGAACGUGCCCUUUGCUACGGAAUAGCCCCGGGAAACUGGGAGUAAUACCGUAUGUGCCCGAGAGGGGAAAGAUUUAUCGGCAAAGGAUCGGCCCGCGUUGGAUUAGGUAGUUGGUGGGGUAAUGGCCUACCAAGCCGACGAUCCAUAGCUGGUUUGAGAGGAUGAUCAGCCACACUGGGACUGAGACACGGCCCAGACUCCUACGGGAGGCAGCAGUGGGGAAUAUUAGACAAUGGGCGCAAGCCUGAUCUAGCCAUGCCGCGUGAGCGAUGAAGGCCUUAGGGUUGUAAAGCUCUUUCAGUGGGGAAGAUAAUGACGGUACCCACAGAAGAAGCCCCGGCUAACUCCGUGCCAGCAGCCGCCGUAACAC